rnacentral:rRNA from 1 species
GAGGAGCCCGCGCCCGAUUAGCUAGUUGGUGAGGUAACGGCUCACCAAGGCAAUGAUCGGUAGCUGGUCUGAGAGGAUGGCCAGCCACACUGGAACUGAGACACGGUCCAGACUCCUACGGGAGGCAGCAGUGGGGAAUCUUGCGCAAUGGGCGAAAGCCUGACGCAGCGACGCCGCGUGGGGGAUGAAGCUUUUCGGAGUGUAAACCCCUUUCGACCGGGACGAAUGCCCGCAAGGGAGUGACGGUACCGGUAUAAGAAGCCCCGGCUAACUACGUGCCAGCAGCCGCGGUAAGACGUAGGGGGCCAGCGUUGUUCGGAAUUACUGGGUGUAAAGGGUCAGUAGGCGGUGUGGCAAGUCGGGAGUGAAAUUUCUGGGCUUAACUCAGAGGCUGCUUCCGAAACUGCUGUGCUUGAGUGUGGGAGAGGCGCGUGGAAUUGCAGGUGUAGCGGUGAAAUGCGUAGAUAUCUGCAGG